GUAACACAGGUGCUGCAUGGCUGUCGUCAGCUCGUGUCGUGAGAUGUUGGGUUAAGUCCCGCAACGAGCGCAACCCUUGCCAUUAGUUGCUACGAAAGGGCACUCUAAUGGGACUGCCGGUGACAAACCGGAGGAAGGCGGGGAUGACGUCAAGUCCUCAUGGCCCUUAUAGGUGGGGCUACACACGUCAUACAAUGGCCGGUACAAAGGGCAGCCAACCCGCGAGGGGGAGCCAAUCCCAUAAGCCGGUCGUAGUCCGGAUCGCAGUCUGCAACUCGACUGCGUGAAGUCGGAAUCGCUAGUAAUCGUGGAUCAGCAUGUCACGGUGAAUACGUUCCCGGGUCUUGUACACACCGCCCGUCACACCAUGGGAGCGGGUCUCGCCAGAAGUAGUUAGCCUAACCGCAAGGAGGGCGAUUACCACGGCGGGGUUCGUGACUGGGGUGAAGU
rnacentral:rRNA from 1 species